AGAAUGAACGCUGGCGGCGUGGUUAAGACAUGCAAGUCGAACGGGUUUUUCGGGGUAGCAAUAUCACGGAAAAUCAGUGGCGAACGGGUGCGUAACACGUGAACAAUUUACCUCUAAGUGUGGAAUAGCUCGCCGAAAGGCGAAUUAAUACCGCAUACGGUUGGUGGCCUCAUGGUCGCCAUACCAAAGCCGGGGACGCAAGGCCCGGCGCUUGGAGAGGAGUUCGCGGCCUAUCAGCUAGUUGGCGGGGUAAUGGCCCACCAAGGCGAUGAUCGGUA
rnacentral:rRNA from 1 species